rnacentral:lncRNA from 1 species
CGGUUCAUUAAUUAAACUAAUGGACCAUGAAGAAUUCAUAAUGUCCACAUCCAGUACUAAAUGUCAUUUUCUGUACAUCGGAGUUUUAUCUUUAGUUGAAGGUAACGUGAUCGAAUUCAAAUUCUCUUCGCAGCUGAUCAAAUAAGUUAAAUAUUCUCAGAAGAGGAUAUUUGUUCUUGACGGUGACCUUGUUGAAUCCUCAGUGGUCUAUUAAAAACAAGGUUCUAAAAGGCAUAAGACCAGAAAACGGAGGUAGACUCAAGCCUAGCGCUGUUGCGCGUGGGUAAGCUUGCACCACGAUGUGACAAGAGUAGUGCCCGAUGCUACUGCAUGUGGGUCGUGAGAGAGUAGCGACGCCAAAUACUACUGUAGUUGCCUGAAUCCAAAAAUCGUC